UUUAUGGAGAGUUUGAUCCUGGCUCAGGAUGAACGCUGGCGGCGUGCCUAAUACAUGCAAGUCGAGCGAACUGACGAGGAGCUUGCUCCUUUGACGUUAGCGGCGGACGGGUGAGUAACACGUGGGUAACCUACCUAUAAGACUGGAAUAACUCCGGGAAACCGGGGCUAAUGCCGGAUAACAUGUUGAACCGCAUGGUUCAACAGUGAAAGACGGUCUUGCUGUCACUUAUAGAUGGACCCGCGCCGUAUUAGCUAGUUGGUAAGGUAACGGCUUACCAAGGCGACGAUACGUAGCCGACCUGAGAGGGUGAUCGGCCACACUGGAACUGAGACACGGUCCAGACUCCUACGGGAGGCAGCAGUAGGGAAUCUUCCGCAAUGGGCGAAAGCCUGACGGAGCAACGCCGCGUGAGUGAUGAAGGUCUUCGGAUCGUAAAGCUCUGUUGUUAGGGAAGAACAUAUGUGUAAGUAACUGUGCACAUCUUGACGGU
rnacentral:rRNA from 1 species